rnacentral:tRNA from 1 species
UAGCUCAGCUGGUAGAGCAUCUGACUUUUAAUCAGAGGGUCAGAGGUUCGAAUC